rnacentral:misc_RNA from 1 species
AUUUCUUAAUUUUUUUAAUUUAAAUUAAAAUUUAAGAAGAUCAAUUCUGAAAUUCAGCAUUAAGAGAUCAUAAUUAAUAGAACCUCAUACAUAAUUUUUUUUUUCGUCAUCAUCAUCAGAAAUUCUUGAGCAGCUUUCUGACCUGUUCCAAGGUCACAAAGAGCACAAUCGUAAACGGCCCUUGCCUUGAAAUCGUUGGUAUAAAUCCCUUGUACAGCGCCAUCGGCCCCUCUGCCUUCACCGUCUUCACUGCGCAAUCCAACGCCCCUGCAUACGGUGCCGCCUCCCCUGCCUCCACCUUCAUGUUCAUCACUCUUGUCUUUAUCACGUCUACCGGGUUUGAUGCCACCGCCGCCACGAACCCUGCCGCGAAACUCGCUGUCACGUGGGUGCCAAGCCCAUCGCUCAUCAACCUUUUUUCCAAAAUCAUUUCCUUGAAUUGGUCGUACGAUGCUAGCUGAGAAGCUGUCACCAGCAUGGCACGGUUCACCGUCAGCGAUGAGCCGCGCCACAGGCUUGUAAUGCCUUCUUGCCUUGCCAUGCGAGUGAUUGCGUCUACGACGCUCUUGUAGUUCCGGCGUUGGGCUGGUGGAAGACGCCCGUCCGCCUGCAUGCGGACCAUAGCAACAUCUGCGGGAUUUCCAACGGCUGCACCUAUGCCACCGGCUAUAAGUCCGGCAGCAAUCUUGCUCGAUAAAGGCAUAGUUUUGGUGUGUGGAUCGGUCCAUUUCUGUUUCAAG